GUGGAAUCGGAGGGGCGGGAGGCUGAAGGAGAGGAGGAGCAGGAGGCUGAAGGAGAGAAGGAGCAGGAGGAGGAAGGAGAUAAGAGAGUGGAGGGGUCGGAGAAGACGGCGGUGGAGAAGGAGAUGGAGAAGGGAACAGAGAGGGAGGAGAUAGAGAAGACGGAGGUGGAGAAGAAAGAGACAGAAAGGAAGGAGACUGGGAAGACGGCGGUGGAGAAGAAAGAGAUAGAAAGGAAGGAGAGAGGGAAGAAGGUGGUGGAGGAGAAAGAGACAGAAAGGAAGGAGAGAGGGAAGAAGGUGGUGGAGGAGAAAGAGACAGAAAGGAAGGAGAGAGGGAAGAAGGUGGUGGAGGAGAAAGAGACAGAAAGGAAGGAGAGAGGGAAGAAGGUGGUGGAGGAGAAAGAGACAGAAAGGAAGGAGAGAGGGAAGAAGGUGGUGGAGGAGAAAGAGACAGAAAGGAAGGAGAGAGGGAAGAAGGUGGUGGAGGAGAAAGAGACAGAAAGGAAGGAGACAGGGAAGAAGGUGGUGGAGGAGAAAGAAAGAAAGGAAGGAGACAGGGAAGAAGGUGGUGGAGGAGAAAGAGACAGAAAGGAAGGAGACAGGGAAGAAGGUGGUGGAGGAGAAAGAGAUAGAAAGGAAGGAGACAGGGAAGAAGGUGGUGGAGGAGAAAGAAAGAAAGGAAGGAGAGAGGGAAGAAGGUGGUGGAGAAGAAAGAGACAGAAAGGAAGGAGACAGGGAAGAAGGUGGUGGAGAAGAAAGAGACAGAAAGGGAGGAGAAAGAGAAGG
rnacentral:lncRNA from 1 species